rnacentral:rRNA from 1 species
GAAUAUUGGUCAAUGGACGCAAGUCUGAACCAGCCAUGCCGCGUGGAGGAUGAAGGUCCUCUGGAUUGUAAACUUCUUUUAUCUGGGAAGAAACCCAUUUUUUCUAAGAUGGUUGACGGUACCAGACGAAUAAGCACCGGCUAACUCCGUGCCAGCCGCCGCGGUAAUACGGAGGGUGCAAGCGUUAUCCGGAUUCACUGGGUUUAAAGGGUGCGUAGGUGGGCAGUUAAGUCAGUGGUGAAAUCUCCGGGCUUAACCCGGAAACUGCCAUUGAUACUAUCUGUCUUGAAUGCCGUGGAGGUAAGCGGAAUAUGUCAUGUAGCGGUGAAAUGCUUAGAUAUGACAUAGAACACCAAUUGCGAAGGCAGCUUACUACACGAAUAUUGACACUGAGGCACGAAAGCGUGGGGAUCAAACAGG